GUGAGUAAUUAACCCCUUUUAAUUGAGGCAACAGGGAAGGACUGGCCAGGACAGGCGCUUGAUCAGCCUCUCUCCUCUGGGUGAAACUGAUGCCAUCCUCUGUCUCCCCCCGGCUUUUCAGUCAGCACUUGGCCCCAGGGCACUAAUGGGGGCCAACCAGCCUGUACUUUCACCUGCUGUGGCUCCACACGCACUUCUCUCCAGCUUAAGUCUGAAAGCACCUAGUGUAUUGAUGGAUGUGAUAAGCUACGUGUGCAUUUGCUUUGGUUGGAAAGCAAGGUCAAGAGCUCUCCUGCUUUAUUAACAUUUAGAUAAGGAAACUGACAUCCACAGACGUUAAAUAAACUUCCCAAGAUUACACAUUAUGUAAAAGAUGGAGCCAGGAUUCAGUCCCAGACAGAUGAAAAGGUGACAGUCGAAGCCAAUCAUUGAACAGCUGAGUUAAGAAGCAGAGGAAUGAGUGAGCGCCCUGAAGGUUCCUGUGGAGUUCGUGGAGUGUGGAAUACAGGCAAGUGGUACAGAGCAGCCCCUCUGGUCUGAGGCCUACUUCCUCCGCUGCUAGGAUGUGUGCUUGGGCAAGUAAACAACACUGUGCUCCAGCUUCCUCACCUGUAAAACAAGGAUUAUAAGCGUGCCCACACCCAGGGCUGGUGGCCACGGAUACACACCGUGGGGAGUAGCAGUGCUUUACAGCUGAUGUCCAUUCUGACUCGACGGUCACCAAUCAUGACCAUGCCAGCUCCUCUCCCACUACUCAUUCCGUGUGAGUCUACAGUGUCUGCAAGCACAGUUUGCUGCCCUCCAGCUACAUUACCCAGAUGCAACAAAUCACGGUGCUCAACAAUGUUUGUUAACCGACUGUCUCACGUUCGGAUGUACAUAAUUUCUAAAGGGAAUACUGAAAAUUGGAUACAGGACGUGAAACACAGUGGUGGCAGAUAUUUCCAUCCCUAUUAUUCACUACUCUAUCUUCAGGAUCUGGCACAGAUAAAUAUCAAGCGUCUAAAAAAAUAUGAAAAGAACUUCCAGCUUUCUUUACCAUAGCACCAGGGACAAUGUCUCUGCUUUUCGGCUCCCAUUUUGUUGGGCAUAGUAUUCUUUUUCCAGUGGACAUUUCAGACCAUGAGACUAGAAGAACACCUGUGCUCAAGAGAGUUGGCGAGGAAGAUGAGUGGCACACGGCUUAUCCGGGCUCCGUCUUGAUGGCUCUGGGUGCUAGCUACAACAGACCACAGCUCCAUGCAGACCUAUGAGCACCUAAUCAGAGCCACACACGCCAUGGGCCAGUGAAAACUUCUCAGAAGAGAUUGGUUCCAGAAGCAACUUAACUUCCCCAUUGAUUACUGACUAGAAUGGACCAUCCUAGUCCACAAAAGAUGAAUCUGAAAAAUCUCCAGGUAUAGCGAGGGGAGUGCAAAUCAAUGAGGCCCUGGUGGCAACAUGGAACGAACAUAGUCCUUACACCAGGCAGCUCUGCCACCUGACUUUUGCUGUACUGGAUCCAGAUGUUCUGAUUUUUUCAAGAAAAGCCAGACUUCAGAUUUCAUGUGAAAUCUCUCAAAUGCAAAAAGUUGGCCUCUAACUCAAAUUUAAAACAACCACGACCAUACGCUGUGAGCCAAACAAAACAGCUUCUAACCACACUCAGCUGGGAUUCAACCCCUGCCUUACAGGCUGGGGAAAACUAAAUCCAAUUCUGAGAAGAGUAAACCAAAAUAACCAGACUUCUGCCUUCCUUAAUCUCCUGUUAAAUUCCUUCCUUCCAGAAAACAGUCUUCAUGCACGGGUCAGAAAGCUCGGCCGUCAUGUACUCAGAUUCCCUCAUCUUCAAACUCAGCAUCAGAGUGAGCAUGUUCCAUCUCGCAACUUGCUGGGCAGGGCCAGGGGAGGUUUGCUCACCCUUAGCAGGCCCUAAGUGUCCUUGGCAUCUGCAAUGGUAAGAGUGGAGAACAUCGGGAAAGGGAGAGAAGUUCUCACCAACGCCAAGGGAGAAAGAGAAUUCUGUGGCUGCCAAAGGAGAGAGUGGGGCAGCCUAUCUGUGUGUAAGGAACACAGUCUGAGCUAAGAAGUGAGGGCCUAAUUAUUACCCAAAUCUUUCAGUAGACUGAGCCUCUCAAAAGCUGGGACUAUGUGUAAUCCAUCUGUGUACCCUUAGACUCCACCACAGUGCCUGGCGCGUAGUAGCCACUCCACUGGUUGUCGGGAGAAAGCGGAGCGGUCAGUUUUCUGUCAUAUGACAGAAGAAGGGAAAGAUUCCCAAUCCAGUCAUCAAUUACCGGCCUCAAAACUUCCCCAAGAAACUGUGAAAUUUAACACUUCAGGAUCAACGGCAGGAUUUGCAAUUUCAGAAUCGCAGACUUUAUUGUUCU
rnacentral:lncRNA from 1 species